rnacentral:rRNA from 1 species
GAUGAACGCUGGCGGCGUGCCUAAUACAUGCCAGUCGAGCGAACAGACGAGGAGCUUGCUCCUUUGACGUUAGCGGCGGACGGGUGAGUAACACGUGUGUAACCUACCUAUAAGACUGGGAUAACUUCGGGAAACCGGAGCUAAUACCGGAUAAUAUUUCGAACCGCAUGGUUCGAUAGUGAAAGAUGGCUUUGCUAUCACGUCUAGAUGGACCUGCGCCGUAUUAGCUAGUUGGUAAGGUAACGGGUUACCAAGGCAACGAUACGUAGCCGAACGGAGAGGGGGAUCGCCCACACUGGAACUGAGACGCGGUCCAGACUCCUACGGGAGGCAGCAGUAGGGAACCUUCCGCAAUGGGCGAAAGCAUGACGGAGCAACGCCGCGUGAGUGAUGAAGGUCUUGGGAGCGUAAAACUCUGUUAUUAGGGAAGAACAAACGUGUAAGUAACUGUGCACGGAUUGACGGUACCUAAUAAGAAAGCAACGGCUAACUACGUG